GUUGAACAACACUUUAACUCCUUCGGCUGGGGCUGUUCCAGAGAACACGCUCGGACCACGUUUCAUAAAGAAAACGGCGGAACGCGUUUGUUUAUCGCAUUAUGGAUUUUGCAGAUUGAUACGUUUCUCUUUUCUUUUUCUUUUUCAAUGUUCGCCUGCUUUUUUCCAAAUCCGAACUUUAAGCCCGGGGGUUUAAGCCAGGGAGGUCGUCCUGCAUAGACAGCGCCUAUUAAUCGCCUCCUGUGAUGCAAUAGAAAGCAGUGGCGCGGUUCCACUCGCUGCGCCUGUGGAUAUCUGUUUCCACAUGCAGCGGCCGUGGCGGCCAGCAGCGCCCACUGAUUGGACGAGCUCAAAGAACAGCUCAGCCAUUAUGCCCCCACAUUAUCAGACCUGUGAGUGGUUCCUGCUGACUUCCGUUCAUUACAGAGAGAUUAGAAGGGUAAACUCUAUCCUCAGGACCCUGGUUUCCAUUGCGCCACUCCUUUAGGUCUGAAAGGGAAGGGGGGAGAAAAAAAGUGAGCUUCACGUUUACCAUAUGUUUGUUUAUCUGUUUAUUCCACGUUGAAUGGGUUUUCUUAUUGUAUGAAUGGCAAAAGUGCUGUAACUGCUGGUUCUCAUGUAAUGAUAGACGGUUGGAUCUUGUUCACAUUCACUCUGAACGACUCAAUCGAUUAACCAGUAAAAGUAUAAGUAUUGAGGGUAACAGUUCAUCUGAAAAACUCUUUGCAGUACCUCUUUUAUAGACAGAGCGUAACAGAAAGAUACAUGAUUUCUACCAGCUCCUGUUUCUUCAAUGAGUUCUUAUCACAUCCAUGUUCCAAACAUUACGCUAAACGCUUUCUCCCUUCAAAACACCGGCCUGGGUCCUGUGAAAUUUCAGCUAUCGCGGUUUCACCCGCUAUCCGUAAAUCUCAGCAAUUAGCCUGGCCUGGAAUUAGAGGAGAAACGUCCAUUAAGUCCCAGCCAUUAAUUUAGGUCCUACUUAUUGGUCUGCUCAAUGGGCUGAUGGCACGGGCAUGUUAAAGUUCCUGCAUUUAGCUUUGGCGUUAUCUGCUAUGCUAUCUGUCUGUCUCUCUGUCUGUCUGUCUUUCAGUCUGUGAAUGUGUCUCUCUCUCUCUCUCUUUCGCUCUCUCUUUAGUGAGGCCAACAAUGUGCUGGCAUGGAGGAUGGUUUAUGGGCCCAAAAAGCCGGUGGCAAUGAAGGAAAUUUAUCCAGGAAUCAGAAAAUCACAGAUAAUGUAUUAAGACGGCUUUAGGUUGAUCUAUAGGGUGACAUUUUUAUAAAAGAUAUUCUAAAUUUAUUAGGAACGCCCCCAGCUGGCAUUUGAACAAACAAAGCUGCUUUUAAUUCUCUCCCCUUUGAAGUCGAAAAUAUUAAAUCAUAAAGGACAUGAAUAAGACCAGAUGUCUCUAGAAGGAAAGACAGUGUGUUAGAAUAUAUCUCUUACCACUCAAUUAUUUUCUGAUAAUAUGAACCCCAUGUGUAGAAAAAAUACAAUUUUUUGGAUCAUUAAUCUCUCUGAAAUAACUCAUUUUCCCCUUAAUCAAACGAAUAGAUGAAACAAGCAUUACCUGGAACAAUGGCAGGGGCUUGAGGUUGUAAAAAUCUGGCUUUGCACAGAUAAUUUCAAUACUGCAUUAAUUUGACUUCCUGGCAAAUGAUAAAAUAUGCUGCUUUUAUUUUGAGACGGUUAAAAUAAAAGAAUACCAUAAAAAGAAUACUAUGGC
ensembl:lncRNA